CUGUAAAUCAGCAACAAAAACACAAGUUGCGGAAAAAGCUCAACAGCUCUGGCAGCAUCUGUGAAAAAAGAAAAAAAAUUAGAGUUAACGUUUCGUGUCCGGUGACCCUCAGAACAGCAACGUUCCGGCCGGUGUUUGCACGCAGGCGCAGCGUCUUUCUGACCGCCGUAAGCUGCUGAUUGCCGGUUUUGUCGGAGCUGUUAAAGGAACAAAGAAUAAGCUGCUGGGGAAAACAGUGAAGGAAGGCUUUCUCCUACGCAGGGAAUCAGGGCCACGAUCAGGGCAUUUCUGGUUGCAGCAGCAGCGCGAGCGGGAGCUUGGAGCAGGGGCCUGUCGGGAAGCCGGGUCCCAAUGCACUGCCACCGAUGUUGGAAUUUGGGAUCUCGGGGUUUAUGCUCCCAUCCCAGAAUGUGAUUUUUGAAGUCCCGGUGGUCCCUCUGGAUUACCACACCUAGAGCCUGGAUGAAGACUUGGGACUGUGUGGGUUUGUACGUUUGGGUUGAGUCGGCUGAUGCGCAAAGGUGUGUUUUGGGUUCAUGUACGGGAUGGCCUUCCGGAGGAAGUACUGGGUGCGGGUAUUGUUACAGCAUUUAAAAGGCAGUUGGGUUGUUUAUGGUGUUGUGAAAUGCUGCUGCUGAUGAUCCUCGUAGAUUGUGGACACUGCUGUCACGGUGCGGUACGAGUGAAGUGAGUUAAUAUCGUUCCAAACAUGAGGCUGCUUUGUGCUGGAUGGUGUCAAGCUUAUUGAAUAUUGUUGGAGCUGCAUUCACCCAGACAAGUGAAGAGAAUUCCAAGACAGUGCUGACCUGUGCAGUGCAGAUGGACAGCAUGUAUUCUGUGGGAUGCUUUUGUUUUUAAAACUCCUUUUCAUUGCAAAAUAUCGUUUCGGUGUUUGGGAACAUUUAUUUUGUCCUGUCAAUGAUGAAUGGCCAGUUCUGGACAGAGAACUGUGCUUUAUUUUCUUGCAGAUUGAGAGUGGCCAGGCCUCUGCAUGUUCAGUUGUGAUUGUUUUCAAUCUGUGUUCUCCCAGCAAUUGCUAACGUGUGCAAUGAGAGCAAACAGUCAGUUUCCUGAGUGAAACGAGUCUUUUUUUUAAAUGUUCUGUGGACUGUGAUUGCUCACAAUUGUAUGUGUGCAAACUGCACUUGCUCAGUCCUGUGUGAGCAGUUGUUCCCAACCUGUGACCUGCAGUUGGUCAAUCCUGUGUUGCAAACGGCUUUUGUCUGUGUACAUGAGAGAUAACUGCACAGAGGCCGGUGUCCUAUCAUCAAAUCACCCUUUAUUUACCCUUGCUGAGUACACUGCCUAUGGCCAGCCAGCUCCGAGUCAUUCCCCUGAAUUGAGGAGAUUGUCAAUCCACUGUUUUCUUUUUCCUUUCGAAUCCCACAGUGGCAGAUAGUGGAAUUAGAAUUCAAUAAAAAUAAUCUGUAAUGAUGUGUCCAUUGUUGAUUAUCAGUUGAAAAACAAAAUCCCAACUCCUUCGCGAAUGUCCCUAAGGGAAGGAAAACUGACCAUGUCUGACCAAAAUGUGACUCCAGACCCACAACAAAAUGGUUGACUCGUAACUGUCCCUUAGCAAUUGCCCAAUGCAGUUAUCAACGGGCACUAAAUGCUGGUCCUUCCAGUGACACCCUCAUUCCACGAAUGAAGAAAUAAUAGGGUAUAUUUCCCUUCCCACCCUCUGCAAGCAUUGCAGCAAUUCGUACUGGUUUUGUAACAUCAUUCAAGCCCUUGCCACUCUCUAACGCUCUCACCACCUCCAGCUCCUUCAACUCUCCCUGGUCCUGUCAUCUCAUUGAGCCCCGACAAUGUUUCCUCUUGCAACUACACUCCUCUUGCAAGGAGCCCAUCUGCAGUCCCUUUAACACCUACUUCCAUAUAUGAUGGCCCGUUGUCAUUUGCUGAAACGCAUUCCUUCACUUCAGAAUUUUUUUUUUCUUGGUUUCUUUCUUUGGUUUUCUUUGAAUCCGAUACUUGGUUCCCUGAGUGAGAGAGAAUGGGAAUUUCUUGCUGAGGUUUUGUCUGUUCCAGUGGAAUGUCCAUUUGUUGAAUGUUUUACACCGUUCCGUGAUUAUUUAUUCACUCGGGAUGUGGGUGUUUCAAGCCGGCCAGCACUUAUUUGCCACCCAAGCUGCCUUUGAACUGAGUGCCUUGCUGGGCCAAUUUGGAGGGAGUUGGGUGUCAGGCAUGUUGCUCUAGGUCUGAAGUCACAUGUUGGCCAGACCAGGUGAGCAGAGCAGAUGUCCUUCCGUGAAGGAUAUCGUGGAACCAGAUGGGUAUUUCAGACAUUGUCAUUAAUUUAUGGAUUAAUAGUCUAGUGAGAGGAACACACGGCCAUUGCCUGUCCCACUCGAAGCUCGUGUAUCCCUGAGUACUGAUACCAGUGCACCAUGAAUCAAAACUCCUUCUUCCUGACCAUUGGGUGAUCCUGACACCUUCCUGGUGAUAUCAGCCAGUAUCUCUUCAAACAGUAACUGUCACAGUGUGGAUCUAAUGAUUGCCGCUACAAUGAGAUCCGACUCCAGAGAUGUGGCAGCAGAGGCCAAGGAUGGAGACGGGGAUUGUCCAGAUGUCUGCGGUGCUCAGCCCUCUUCCACAUCUGUAGUCCUCACUGCAUCAGUCUAAUUUCUCAGUCUGUUUAUGCUUCUGUCUUUGGCAGCUACUGAAAGUUGCUGACUGAGCAGAAUUCCUGACUCCAGUCUCGUCCAUCACCAUGUUGAAGUCAACUGGAAAAUUCAAGCGACGACGGACAGGGAGAUCUGGAGCAUUCGUCAGAUCUUGCAGUCAGGUAAGACGCUCAGUGAGCAGAGCAGAAGGCUUAAAACAUUGACCCAUGAGAUGUCAUGUAGCUGCAGUGCAGAAGGGGGCGCACAGUGUAGAAAGACCCCAGACUCAAUCACAACCCUGCUGAUGUUGUCGGCUUGCUCACCGAGCCAGUACCAGGUAGACCAACAUAUAGGCUAGCCAAAGAACAAUAACGGAAACUGAAAUACUUCAUGGACAACACUAUCCACCCAAUACACUCUUCCCAAGAAUUCCUCAACAUCGUCAAGGACACCAGAAUAGAAGAGGAGGAGAUGAUGAUAUUCUUUGAUAUUACAGCACGAUUUACAUCCAUAAACACUGACUGAGCCAAAGAGACAAUGGCCACUCUGCUGGAUGAACCAGGAUGGCAGGCGCUCCAAACUAACAGAAUCAACAAGGACAGCAUCCUGAAAUUGCUGGAUAUGUGUCUCACCUCCAUCUAUUCAAACAAAUCAAUGGAACACCAAUGGGAUCCCCGAUAUCAGGACUGCUUGCAGAAGUGGUAAUGCAAAGAUCAGAAUGGAGAAGCUCCCCACUAUCUAACCCAAGCUCUGGGUCCCCUGUGGUAGAUGACACCUUGAUGAUCACAUCUAGAAGACCAGAAGAAACCCACUGACAGAUGAACAACAUCCUCACUAGAAUAAAAUUCAUAAAAGAAGAGGACAAUAACCCUUCCUCAGCUAUGGUGGAAUGUAAGAGCAACAGGGAACUCCAGAUCAUUGUGUACAGAAUGUGUACAGCCCAUACGCACCAGAUAUUUUAUCACACCAGCAACUAUCCACCAAUACCUGUAAACGGAGGUACAUCAGGACAUAAUUCAAACGAGCCACAACACACUGCAGCAACCUGGAACUGCUCACAGCAGACGUGGAGCACUGAUACGGAGUUUUUAAAGGAAAUGGAUACCCAAAAGGCACAAUCCACUGUUACCCACAGGACAGACCACAACAAUAAGGCACAAUACAGCCAGACACACCAGUCAUCCUACUGCAAAUCAGAGACCUAUCAGCGGUGACCACAAGACUAUUCAGAUCCUGAGGUAUCAGGCUCACCCACAAACCAACAACCACCUACGACUGCUCUUGACAAAUGUCUGGGAUCCCACACCCAAAACCAAUACAAAAUACCAUGCAAGGACAGUGAGAAACAUUAUGCAGACCAAACUGGAAGAAAACUGACAACAAGGAUGCACAAAUACCAACUAUCCACCAAGAGACAUGACCAGUUCUCACUGAUGUCAGUACACACUGACAAAGAAGGACACCAAUUUGACUGGGACAACACAUCCACAAUCGUACAAAGCAAACAGAGACAUGCUAGGGAAUUCCUGGAGGCCUGGUAUUCCAACUGGAAAUCCAUCAACAAAUAGAUUGAUCUGGACCCGAUAUACAAACCACUGGAAAACAAAACCGGAAGUGAUGCCAACCACCCCAGCAAACCGAGGCGCACA